AGAGUUUGAUCCUGGCUCAGGAUGAACGCUGGCGGCGUGCCUAACACAUGCAAGUCGAACGAAGCACCUUACCUGAUUCUUCGGAUGAAGGUCUGGUGACUGAGUGGCGGACGGGUGAGUAACGCGUGGGUAACCUGCCCUGUACAGGGGGAUAACAGUUGGAAACGGCUGCUAAUACCGCAUAAGCGCACGAGAGGACAUCCUCUUGUGUGAAAAACUCCGGUGGUACAGGAUGGGCCCGCGUCUGAUUAGCUGGUUGGCAGGGUAACGGCCUACCAAGGCAACGAUCAGUAGCCGGUCUGAGAGGAUGAACGGCCACAUUGGAACUGAGACACGGUCCAAACUCCUACGGGAGGCAGCAGUGGGGAAUAUUGCACAAUGGGGGAAACCCUGAUGCAGCAACGCCGCGUGAGUGAAGAAGUAUUUCGGUAUGUAAAGCUCUAUCAGCAGGGAAGAUAAUGACGGUACCUGACUAAGAAGCUCCGGCUAAAUACGUGCCAGCAGCCGCGGUAAUACGUAUGGAGCAAGCGUUAUCCGGAUUUACUGGGUGUAAAGGGUGCGUAGGUGGCAGUGCAAGUCAGAUGUGAAAGGCCGGGGCUCAACCCCGGAGCUGCAUUUGAAACUGCUCGGCUAGAGUACAGGAGAGGCAGGCGGAAUUCCUAGUGUAGCGGUGAAAUGCGUAGAUAUUAGGAGGAACACCAGUGGCGAAGGCGGCCUGCUGGACUGUUACUGACACUGAGGCACGAAAGCGUGGGGAGCAAACAGGAUUAGAUACCCUGGUAGUCCACGCCGUAAACGAUGA
rnacentral:rRNA from 1 species